rnacentral:rRNA from 1 species
GAUGAACGCUGGCGGCGUGCCUAAUACAUGCAAGUAGAACGCUGAAGGAGGAGCUUGCUCUUCUGGAUGAGUAGCGAACGGGUGAGUAACGCGUAGGUAACCUGCCUGGUAGCGGGGGAUAACUAUUGGAAACGAUAGCUAAUACCGCAUGACAACAGUUAUUGCAUGAUAACUGUUUAAAAGGGGCAACUGCUCCACUACCAGAUGGACCUGCGUUGUAUUAGCUAGUUGGUGAGGUAACGGCUCACCAAGGCGACGAUACAUAGCCGACCUGAGAGGGUGAUCGGCCACACUGGGACUGAGACACGGCCCAGACUCCUACGGGAGGCAGCAGUAGGGAAUCUUCGGCAAUGGACGGAAGUCUGACCGAGCAACGCCGCGUGAGUGAAGAAGGUUUUCGGAUCGUAAAGCUCUGUUGUAAGAGAAGAACGAGUGUGAGAGUGGAAAGUUCACACUGUGACGGUAUCUUACCAGAAAGGGACGGCUAACUACGUG